UGUAUUCGACUGUAUUCGAUUGUAUUCACGGCGUGAAAUAGAGAAUUACAUUAUUUUUAAAACGAAAAGUGAAUCAAUUAACAUAAUAGACUCCU
rfam:Nicotiana attenuata strain TT chromosome 8, whole genome shotgun sequence.